rnacentral:snRNA from 1 species
GUUGUCUUUGGAAACACAUACUAAAAUCGGAACAAUAGAGAUUAGCAUGGCCCCUGAACAAAGAUGAGGCACAAAUACAUAAAAUGUUAAAAAAAAAA